rnacentral:lncRNA from 1 species
CAAGAACCCGAGUGGAAACAACCGAAGACCAGAAAGGGAGCAGGAAGGACGGCUGCUCUGGAAGCAGAUGUCACCAGUACCGCCCACCUCCCCAAAAUCAGAAGAAAAACCUCAAAGGAUGCCCACCACAUCGUAAACGGAUGGCCACACUGGCACGAGGGUAUAAAGGGAGUCGAGCAAUCUGUAGAGAUGUCAGUCUGAACCUCUGGCAAAGUCGCAGGUCAACAGAAUCCUGCAUAGGGC